AUGCGGCGGCGCGAGCGAGCGAGCUGCCCCCCUGUCCGCGAGCGAGUGAGCGGAGAGGCGGUCACCCGGAGACCUCCACGCGGUGGGUGUAGGGAUAACCCGCCGCCUGCUCGCUCGCUCGGCCAUCUGGGAGCGCACUGUAAUUUCUCACCGUUCGGGCUCCGCGCCGCUCCGCCAGACCCGUCGAUCCGCGCUCCCGAGAACGUUCAUCGCCCUCCUGCGAAUAGCCCCGCGACGCGUCCAGCAGUGCGCUCGCUCCAGCCUUUGAAGACCCGUCUUCCCACCGCCAUACCGCCAGAGCCCGAAGCCGCCAGCGCCGAGCACCCGCUUCUCGCCGGAGCGCUGUUUUGUCUCCAGGUAAGUGCUUAUUAAUACGUGCGCGAGUUUCGUUUUAACAAACCGCGCUCGUGCGCCUCGGUUUGUACCGUUUUGCGUUCGCGGAGCCGUUUCGCUGUAGCCCGAGUUAUAUUAGUAGAGGUCAACGGCGUCGACACCGGACGGACCGUCAUCUCGGUUUAGCCGAUUACACGCUCCCUUCCAGGCGUUUGUCCUCGACGUUUAAACAUUUCAACCACGCAUUUUUUUUUUUUUUAAUCAAAAAGUCUCCUUUAAAGUCCCCGCGUCGUAACUAAGGCGCAAGCUCGUGACACACUAUUAAUUUUAAAAAAAAAAAAGGGGGUUUGCACUAGUCGGACCAGCCAGGUUCGUCGCCCCAAACAAAAGCUCGACACCGGGGUGUUCGAGAUCGACUCGGUUUUUUUCUUAAAAAAAAAAAAAAAAAAAAAAAAAAUCUUCACACACGAAUGUUUAAAAAAAAAAAAAAAAUUUUAGCAAGUAAUGCAAACAGACGUGGUCCUUUCGGCUGCCCGGUUACUGGUAACAACAACAAGCAGCGGUUGAAGCUAUCAAAGCGAAAAUUAUGAAAAAUGUGGGGGGGAAUGUAGUUAUCUGUGGAUUUUAUAGUUUUAAAUCCAAAAUGGCCUGUAAAGAGCGCUAAUCGUAUUAUGUACGGCUAUUUUGUAGCAGCUCGGUGCUGCGACGCGACCCCCAGCCGCCCGGAGAGAAAGAGCGGAGACUCUGGGCUUUUGUUACCGCCGCCAUUUCUGUCUGAGUCGCUCGCGCUGGAAAACGCCAUCGCCUCAGUUUCUGACUCCUAAAACGCGUAAAAUCUAAAUAUCUUCCUUUUAAUUCUUUGUUUAAUCGAACAAAGCGAUGUUUUAAAUAAGGGGUUGGGGGGAAAACGUCGAGGUUUUUUUUUCCCUUUUUUUUUUUUUUCUUUCCUCC
rnacentral:lncRNA from 1 species